AGGAGCUUGCUCUUCUUGGAUGAGUUGCGAACGGGUGAGUAACGCGUAGGUAACCUGCCUUGUAGCGGGGGAUAACUAUUGGAAACGAUAGCUAAUACCGCAUAACAAUGGAUGACACAUGUCAUUUAUUUGAAAGGGGCAAUUGCUCCACUACAAGAUGGACCUGCGUUGUAUUAGCUAGUAGGUGAGGUAAUGGCUCACCUAGGCGACGAUACAUAGCCGACCUGAGAGGGUGAUCGGCCACACUGGGACUGAGACACGGCCCAGACUCCUACGGGAGGCAGCAGUAGGGAAUCUUCGGCAAUGGGGGCAACCCUGACCGAGCAACGCCGCGUGAGUGAAGAAGGUUUUCGGAUCGUAAAGCUCUGUUGUAAGUCAAGAACGGGUGUGAGAGUGGAAAGUUCACACUGUGACGGUAGCUUACCAGAAAGGGACGGCUAACUACGUGCCAGCAGCCGCGGUAAUACGUAGGUCCCGAGCGUUGUCCGGAUUUAUUGGGCGUAAAGCGAGCGCAGGCGGUUUGAUAAGUCUGAAGUUAAAGGCUGUGGCUCAACCAUAGUUCGCUUUGGAAACUGUCAAACUUGAGUGCAGAAGGGGAGAGUGGAAUUCCAUGUGUAGCGGUGAAAUGCGUAGAUAUAUGGAGGAACACCGGUGGCGAAAGCGGCUCUCUGGUCUGUAACUGACGCUGAGGCUCGAAAGCGUGGGGAGCGAACAGGAUUAGAUACCCUGGUAGUCCACGCCGUAAACGAUGAGUGCUAGGUGUUGGAUCCUUUCCGGGAUUCAGUGCCGCAGCUAACGCAUUAAGCACUCCGCCUGGGGAGUACGACCGCAAGGUUGAAACUCAAAGGAAUUGACGGGGGCCCGCACAAGCGGUGGAGCAUGUGGUUUAAUUCGAAGCAACGCGAAGAACCUUACCAGGUCUUGACAUCCCGAUGCUAUUUCUAGAGAUAGAAAGUUACUUCGGUACAUCGGUGACAGGUGGUGCAUGGUUGUCGUCAGCUCGUGUCGUGAGAUGUUGGGUUAAGUCCCGCAACGAGCGCAACCCUUAUUGUUAGUUGCCAUCAUUCAGUUGGGCACUCUAGCGAGACUGCCGGUAAUAAACCGGAGGAAGGUGGGGAUGACGUCAAAUCAUCAUGCCCCUUAUGACCUGGGCUACACACGUGCUACAAUGGUUGGUACAACGAGUUGCGAGUCGGUGACGGCGAGCUAAUCUCUUAAAGCCAAUCUCAGUUCGGAUUGUAGGCUGCAACUCGCCUACAUGAAGUCGGAAUCGCUAGUAAUCGCGGAUCAGCACGCCGCGGUGAAUACGUUCCCGGGCCUUGUACACACCGCCCGUCACACCACGAGAGUUUGUAACACCCGAAGUCGGUGAGGUA
rnacentral:rRNA from 1 species